GUACAGGUGAAAUUUCUAUCGUGGUGCAAUAGGCAGUACCGUAAGGGAAAGAUGAAAGAACUAUAUCAAGGAAUAAAAAGCAAAGACAAGCCCUUAUACCUUCUGCAUAAUGCAUUAACUAGAAAUGACUUUACAUAGAGAACAAUGGCCAAGUCCCCUAAAACCAGAUGAGCUACCCAAGAAUACCUGAAAGAGCACACUCACCUAUGUGGCAAAAUAGCGGGAAGAUUCAUGAGUAGCAGUGACAAGCCUGCCGAGCCUAGUGAUAGCUGGCUGUCUCAGUUCAACUUUAAACUUACCCAUGGAAUUACUUAAUCUCCCUGUAAGUUUGUUAGUCUAGAGAGAGACGGCUCUUUAGACUCUUCCUACAGAGAGUAAAAAACAUUACCACCACAGUUGGCCCAAAAGCAGCCACUAAUUAAGAAAGAAUUUAAGCUCAGUAUCUAACUAUCUUAAAUUCUAACCAGUCUACUGAACUCUUAACAUCACAUCGGACUAAACUAUUACUUAAUAGAAGCAACAACGUUAAUAUAAGUAAUAUGAAGGCAUUCUCCAUUGCAUAAGCUUACAUCAGACCGGAGUAACCCACUGACAGUUAACAGCCCAAUACUAAUAAAUGAUAUAAUAAACACCUAUUAUUUGCACUGUUAACCCAACACAGGCAUGCUCUAAGGAAACAUUACAAAAAGUAAAAGGAACUUGGCAAUCCUACCUGCCUGUUUACAACAAAAAAUCACUCUAGCAUACCAGUAUCAGAGGCCACGGUCUGCCCAGUGACAUAUGUUCAACAGCCGUGGUAUCCUGACCAUGCAAAGGUAGCAUCAUCACUGUUCCCUAAAUAGGGACUUGUAUGAAUGGCCACACGGAGNNNNNNNNNNNNNNNNNNNNNNNNNAGAGUAAAAAAUCUGACCUCCAUAGUUGGCCCAAAAGCAGCCAUCAAUUAAGAAAGCGUUCAAGCUCAACAUCAAUUAUAUAAAAAUUCCAAACACACCACUAAACUCCUUAUUCCACAUUGGAUUAAUCUAUCAUUUCAUAGAAGCAACAAUGCUAAUAUAAGUAACAUGAACAUUUUCUCCACUGCAUAAGCCUAAAUCAGACCGAAAAACUUCACCGAUGCUUAACAGCCUAACACUAACAAACAGAAACAAGUCAGUAUUACUCACACUGUUAACCCGACACAGGCAUGCUUUAAGGAAAGGUUAAAAAAAGUAAAAGGAACUCAGCAAACUUAACCCCGCCUGUUUACCAAAAACAUCACCUCUAGCAUUACCAGUAUUAGAGGCACUGCCUGCCCGGUGACACAUACUCAACGGCCGUGGUACCCUGACCGUGCAAAGGUAGCAUAAUCACUUGUUCCUUAAAUGGGGACUCGCAUGAAUGGCAACACGAGGGUUCAGCUGUCUCUUACUUUUAACCAGUGAAAUUGACCUAUCCGUGAAGAGGCGGACAUGAAACAAUAAGACGAGAAGACCCCAUGGAGCUUCAAUUUGUUAAUGCAAUCAAAAUUAUACAAAUCCACGGACCCUUACACCACCACACCUGCAUUAAAAAUUUUGGUUGGGGUGACCUCGCAGCAUAACUAAACCUCCGAACAGCCUACGCUAAGACUACACAAGCCAAAGCGAACCAGCACCUGUAAUUGACCCAAUAAUUUGAUCAACGGAACAAGUUACCCUGGGGAUAACAGCGCAAUUCUAUUCUAGAGUCCAUAUCAACAAUAGAGUUUACGACCUCGAUGUUGGAUCAGGACAUCCUAAUGGUGCAGCAGCUAUCAAGGGUUCGUUUGUUCAACGAUUAAAGUCCUACGUGAUCUGAGUUCAGACCGGAGCGAUCCAGGUCGGUUUCUAUCUAUUCCACAUUUCUCCCUGUACGA
rnacentral:ncRNA from 1 species